rnacentral:lncRNA from 1 species
GCACUUUCUAGCCCUCCAAAAAUACUUUUCGAUAAAAAAUGGUGUUUGGUAAAAUUUUUGGAAAGUUGUUUCAGCUUUUGCGGGAAGCUGAAAACAGCUUUUGGGGAGAAGUUCAAAUUUGGAGCUUUACGAAAACGCUGUUUUCAGCUUUGUCGGAAAGCUAUUUUUUGGACCAAAAUAUCCCCAUUUAAAUCUCACUUUUCCCCCCAAAAUCCUCAUCCCGCCUCUUCCUUUCUCACCCAUCCCCUCCCUCUCCCUCUCUAUCUUCUUCUUCCUCUCAA